rnacentral:rRNA from 1 species
UCGAACGGGGUUAUCAUUUUUGAAGCGAUUAGCUUGCUAAGAGUGGAAAAGUUGAUAACUUAGUGGCGGACGGGUGAGUAACGCGUGGGUAACCUGCCUUACACAGGGGGAUAACACUUAGAAAUAGGUGCUAAUACCGCAUAAGCGCACAGUCCCGCAUGGGACAGAGUGAAAAACAUUAGUGGUGUAAGAUGGACCCGCGUCUGAUUAGCUUGUUGGCGGGGUAACGGCCCACCAAGGCGACGAUCAGUAGCCGGCCUGAGAGGGUGGACGGCCACAUUGGGACUGAGACACGGCCCAAACUCCUACGGGAGGCAGCAGUGGGGGAUAUUGGACAAUGGGGGAAACCCUGAUCCAGCGACGCCGCGUGAGUGAAGAAGUAUUUCGGUAUGUAAAGCUCUAUCAGCAGGGAAGAAAGAAAUGACGGUACCUGAGUAAGAAGCCCCGGCUAACUACGUGCCAGCAGCCGCGGUAAUACGUAGGGGGCAAGCAUUAUCCGGAAUUACUGGGUGUAAAGGGAGCGUAGACGGUAAUGCAAGUCUGGAGUGAAAGGCGGGGGCCCAACCCCCGGACUGCUCUGGAAACUGUGUAACUGGAGUGCAGGAGAGGCAGGCGGAAUUCCUAGUGUAGCGGUGAAAUGCGUAGAUAUUAGGAGGAACACCAGUGGCGAAGGCGGCCUGCUGGACUGUAACUGACGUUGAGGCUCGAAAGCGUGGGGAGCAAACAGGAUUAGAUACCCUGGUAGUCCACGCCGUAAACGAUGAUUACUAGGUGUGGGUGGGUAUGGACCCAUCGGUGCC